GGCACCCAACUUGUGGACAAAGACAGGAGCAAAAAAAAAUCCUCUUUUCUAACCCAGAAUUCAUUGUUCAGUAUAAGUUUUGAUACAUAUAAGAAGGAAUAUG
ensembl:snoRNA